GUCACACCUGUUCCCAUGCCGAACACAGAAGUUAAGCUCCUUAGCGUCGAUGGUAGUCGAACUUACGUUCCGCUAGAGUAGAACGUUGCCAGGC
rnacentral:rRNA from 1 species